ACUGGUUGAGACCACUGACCCUUCAACUGGGUCUGCAUGGGUGCCUGAGAGGUGGCCUUUUGAUAUCAGAGGGUCAAAAACUCCACCCUCAAGAUCAUGCUAAUGUUGCCAUUUUCUGUACAUAUGUCCUGUGAACUGUUCGUCCACCUCAUCUCUUGGUGACCUAGUGCGUAAAUCUUUUCUCUUUUGCAGAAUCUAUGUCACAGUGAUUGAUUUACUGCAUAUGAGCAGAAUGAACCUGGACCUGGCCAGUAUCAUUAAGGGUCUCACUUCAUCACCUAGACUGGAGUACAGUAGCACAGUUGCAGCUUCCUACAUCUUGACUUCCUGGGUUCCAGUGAUCCUCCCCCUUCAGCCUCUCAGGAGUUUUGGAGAGUCAUUGCAUGAUGAUCUCUGAAGAUUCUACUGAAAUCUAAUCAAUAUGUCCUCACUGCCAUCAAUUCAAAAGAACUUGCUAAGAAGGCUCUAGAGACUUGUACUCUCAGAUAGUGAAAGUGAGAUGAUGUGUAGUGAAAGUCAUAUAUAGGUUGUAAAUUGCAAUAUGGAAUUCCCAAAUGCUGAAUUCAUUUUAUCUCUUCAGAAAUAAAAACCUGUUAAAGACUCA